rfam:Yersinia bercovieri ATCC 43970 contig01114.3, whole genome shotgun sequence.
UGAGUGCAUCGUAAGGUGCGCUGACCGGUGGACAGGAGUCAGCAGAGGGCAUAGUAGGACGUGACGUCUGAAGGCC